AAUUUACAAGAAAAAAAAUCAAACAAUUCCAUCAAAAAGUGGGCAAAGGAUAUGAACAGACACCUCUCAAAAGAAGACAUUUAUGCAGCCAACAGACACAUGAAAAAAUGCUCAUCACCACUGGCCAUCAGAGAAAUGCAAAUCAAAACCACAAUGAGAUACCAUCUCACACCGGUUAGAAUGGCAAUCAUUAAAAAGUCAGGAAACAACAGGUGAUGGAGAGGAUGUGGAGAAAUAGGAACACUUUUACACUGUUGGUGGGACUGUAAACUAGUUCAAUCAUUGUUGAAGACAGUGUGGUGAUUCCUCAAGGAUCUAGAACUAGAAAUACCAUCUGACCCAGCCAUCCCAUUACUGGGUAUAUACCCAAAGGAUUAUAAUUCAUGCUGCUAUAAAGACACAUGCACACAUAUGUUUAUUGUGGCACUAUUCACAAUAGCAAAGACUUGGAACCAACCCAAAUGUCCAUCAAUGAUAGACUGGAUUAAGAAAAUGUGGCACAUAUACACCAUGGAAUACUAUGCAGCCAUAAAAAAUGAUGAGUUCAUGUCCUUUGUAGGGACAUGGAUGAAGCUGGAAACCAUCAUUCUCAGCAAACUAUCACAAGGACAGAAAACCAAACACCUCAUGUUCUCACUCAUAGGUGGGAAUUGAACAAUGAGAACACUUGGACACAGGAAAGGGAACAUCACACACCGGGGCCUGUCGUGGGGUGGGGGCAGUGGGGAGGGAUAGCAUUAGGAGAUAUACCUAAUGUAAAUGACGAGUUAAAGGGUGCAGCACACCAGCAUGGCACAUGUAUACAUAUGUAACAAACCUGCAUGUUGUGCACAUGUACCCUAGAACUUAAAGUAAAAUUUUAAAAAAAGGGAAAAAAACAUUAUGAGAAUUUGCGUAAAAAAAAAAAAAAAAAAAAAAGAAAACCAAAUAAAUAUCAAAGUUCAAGAUGCUCACAUUGAAUAGCUAACAUUAUCUUAGAUGUUUUCCUUUUUUAA
rnacentral:lncRNA from 1 species